rfam:Triticum urartu cultivar G1812 contig925490, whole genome shotgun sequence.
GCCUGUUUAGCUUAAUUGGUAAAGUAUACUGCUCAUAACAGUAAUUAUAAAAGUUCAAGUCUUUUGAUAGGUA